UACAGAGGGUGCAAACGUUGCUCGGAAUUAUUGGGCGUAAAGCGCACGUAGGCGGUUUGGUAAGUUGGAUGUGAAAACCCUGGGCUCAACCCUGGAAGUGCAUCCAAGACUGUCAAGCUAGAGUGUCGGAGGGGGUCGGAGAAUUCCCGGUGUAGAGGUGAAAUUCGUAGAUAUCGGGAGGAACAUCUGUGGCGAAGGCGCCGACCUGGACGACAACUGACGCUGAGGUGCGAAAGCAUGGGGAGCAAACAGG
rnacentral:rRNA from 1 species